rnacentral:rRNA from 1 species
UACGUAGGGGGCAAGCGUUGUCCGGAUUUACUGGGCGUAAAGAGCGUGUAGGCGGCCAAGCAGGUCCGUUUGUGAAAACUGGAGGCUCAACCUUCAGACGUCGACCGAAACCAAUCUGGCUAGAGUCCGGGAGAGGAGAGUGGAAUUCCUGGUGUAGCGGUGAAAUGCGCAGAUAUCAGGAGGAACACCGGUGGCGAAGGCGGUUCUUCUGGGCCUUACCUGACGCUGAGGAGCGAAAGCGUGGGGAGCAAACAGG